ensembl:lncRNA
CUGUUUUGUGUUUCUUUGUUCCAUGUACUCCAUGUCCUGGUUUUCCCAUGUGUUUCCUUAUGCCCUUAUUUGGUCCUUUGUGUUCCCAUUGUGUUCCCUGAUUAGUUCAUCAUUUGUUUCCAGCUGUGUUUUGUUCAUUAUCUUAAUUUGCACCAGUAUUUAAAGUGUAGUCUGCCCUGUCUUCCUAUGUUCGGUAUUGUUUAUGUCAACCUCCUCCGUGUGUUUUCCUGGUUCCCUUGAUGUUAUUAAAGUCUCCUUGUUCAUGUACUCCAUGUCUCAUGGUCAUCAUCUGAUUCCUCACUCCACGCUCCCCCACAGUAGCAAUCAAGACAGAAUAUGUGAAAUACCCACAGAGAGCUCCCCUUUGUGGAGUAUGCAUGGGAGUUCUGCAAGAUUACUGCUAAAACAGUGCUGGAUGAUGCCAUGCUCAACUCUCUGUUCUGGAUCGGGGCCAAUUGCUAUUGCCCCGUGGACCUCCCAGACACUACAGGACUGAGCUGGAGGGAAGGGAUCCUCCGGUUCUGUAGAGUGUCCAGCCCCGAUCCAGAACUAGCCUGCCGUCCAGCCCUAAAGGGGUAUCUAAGGAGGAGAAGGCUGUUGGUUCUAGUCCCUAGGUCUGCUCCAGUGUCGGCUCUAGACCCAUAGCUCGCUCCAGUGUCAACUCCAGCCCCCGAAACCACCCCAAAGAGGGCUCCUGUUCAUUAGAUUAGCCCACAGAGAGCUCCAGUCCCCGAGUUUAGCCCAGUGAGGGCUACUGACCCCCAGUUUAGCACAGAGAGGGCUCCAGUCCCCGAGUCUAGCACAGAAAGGGCUCCAGUUCCCAUGUCAAGCCCAAGGAGGGCCUCUAAAGAUGAUAUUCUCCUCAAUUAUUUUAUUUUAUUUUAUUUUAUUUUAUUUAUUUAUUUAUUUAUUUUUUUUGGGGGGGGGGGGUUGGUAGUAAGGGUCCAUAGUAGUAGGGAGGCCAGGCUCCAUGAGCUCCCUGUUCCGCCAUGGCCUCCUGAACUGCCUGCUCCACCAUGGCUUCCUGAGCUUCCUGCUCUGCCAUGGCCCCUGAGCUCCCUGUGCCACCAUGGUACCCUGGACUGCCUGAUCUGCCCUAGAGGUAUUCCCUGUGUCCCAGUCCUGCACCAGCCUACAGGGCACACACCCACCUUCCAUGGCGAAAUUGAUACGGUGCGGAAUUCGCCUUCCAGGAGGGGGGGGGCGAUGUCAGGGUUAUGGACCUCUUUUGUGUUUCUUUGUUCCAUGUACUCCAUGUACUGGUUUUCCCAUGUGUUUCCUUAUGCCCUUAUUUGGUCCUUCCUGUUCCAAUUAUGUUCCCUGAUUAGUUAAUCAUUUGUUUCCAGCUUUGUUUUGUUCAUUAUUUUAAUUUGCUCCAGUAUUUAAAGUGAUGUCUGCCCUGUCUUCCUCCUUCCGGUAUUUUUUAUUUCAACUUCCUCUGCUAUGUGUGUUUUCCUGGUUCAAUUGAUGUUAUUAAAGUCUCCUUGUUGAUGUACUCCAUGUCUCCACGUUCCUCGCUCCACUCUCCCUCACAGUGGUGACCAUGACAGUCUCCUCUUGAUGCUUUGUGAACUGAAGGAUACAUGGCAUCCUCCUGUGUCUGUCGCCAUCUCUUCUUAUCUACUUGAAGAUCACAUAUUCAGGAACCAAACCAGCUUCUUUGACCAAUUUCCUUUACAAUCCCAAUGUAAAUAAUCAGAAACCCGAAAUCCAUAAUCCUCAUUCAAGGUCAGUCACUUAAAUUUAUUUCCACCAGCUAUUUUCACAGCAUGAGUCACAAUACUUGUGAGAACACACACACACACACACAGCUGGAGUGAGGAGCUGAUUCAUUAUUAGUUGGGGUCCUGGAGGGCAUUUAGGCACAAAAUUAAGUGUUUGUGGUGCCUCAUUUUUAUCAGAUACAUUGUGUCGCAUGUCUGCUUCUGCGUCUCGACUGGCAGCCACUCUGCACCUCUUCUCUGUGGUUUUCUUGGGUCUAGAGUUACUUGCAGGGGUGGCACUAGAUAGUUUCACAGAAAUACAGCUUCUACAGAUGCAAUAAGCAGCGUACAAUGCAG